rnacentral:rRNA from 1 species
AUUGAACGCUGGCGGAAUGCUUUACACAUGCAAGUCGAACGGCAGCACGGGGGCAGCCCUGGUGGCGAGUGGCGAACGGGUGAGUAAUACAUCGGAACGUGCCCGGUCGUGGGGGAUAACGUAGCGAAAGUUACGCUAAUACCGCAUACGAUCUGAGGAUGAAAGCGGGGGACCUUCGGGCCUCGCGCGAUCGGAGCGGCCGAUGUCCGAUUAGGUAGUUGGUGGGGUAAAGGCCUACCAAGCCGACGAUCUGUAGCUGGUCUGAGAGGACGACCAGCCACACUGGGACUGAGACACGGCCCAGACUCCUACGAGAGGCAGCAGUGGGGAAUUUUGGACAAUGGGCGCAAGCCUGAUCCAGCCAUUCCGCGUGCAGGACGAAGGCCUUCGGGUUGUAAACUGCUUUUGUACGGAACGAAAAGGCUCUGGCUAAUACCUGGGGCUCAUGACGGUACCGUAAGAAUAAGCACCGGCUAACUACGUG